rnacentral:rRNA from 1 species
UACGUAGGGGGCGAGCGUUGUCCGGAUUCAUUGGGCGUAAAGGGCGCGUAGGCGGCUUGGCAAGUCGGGUGUGAAACCUCCAGGCUCAACCUGGAGUCGCCACCCGAUACUGCCAUGGCUAGAGUCCGGUAGGGGACCACGGAAUACCUGGUGUAGCGGUGAAAUGCGCAGAUAUCAGGUGGAACACCGGUGGCGAAGGCGGUGGUCUGGGCCGGCACUGACGCUGAUGCGCGAAAGCGUGGGUAGCGAACAGG